GAUGAACGCUGGCGGCGUGCCUAAUACAUGCAAGUCGAGCGAACAGACGAGGAGCUUGCUCCUCUGACGUUAGCGGCGGACGGGUGAGUAACACGUGGAUAACCUACCUAUAAGACUGGGAUAACUUCGGGAAACCGGAGCUAAUACCGGAUAAUAUAUUGAACCGCAUGGUUCAAUAGUGAAGGACGGUUUUGCUGUCACUUAUAGAUGGAUCCGCGCCGCAUUAGCUAGUUGGUAAGGUAACGGCUUACCAAGGCAAUGAUGCGUAGCCGACCUGAGAGGGUGAUCGGCCACACUGGAACUGAGACACGGUCCAGACUCCUACGGGAGGCAGCAGUAGGGAAUCUUCCGCAAUGGGCGAAAGCCUGACGGAGCAACGCCGCGUGAGUGAUGAAGGUCUUCGGAUCGUAAAACUCUGUUAUUAGGGAAGAACAAAUGUGUAAGUAACUAUGCACGUCUUGACGGUACCUAAUCAGAAAGCCACGGCUAACUACGUG
rnacentral:rRNA from 1 species